UCUUUUCCUUUUGUGCCAGCCGCCGCGGUAAUACGUAGGGAGCGAGCGUUGUCCGGAAUGACUGGGUGUAAAGGGAGCGUAGGCGGGAUGGCAAGUCAGAUGUGAAACCUGAGGGCUCAACCUUCAGACUGCAUUUGAAACUGCUGUUCUUGAGUGAAGUAGAGGUAAGCGGAAUUCCUGGUGUAGCGGUGAAAUGCGUAGAGAUCAGGAGGAACAUCGGUGGCGAAGGCGGCUUACUGGGCUUUUACUGACGCUGAGGCUCGAAAGCGUGGGGAGCAAACAGG
rnacentral:rRNA from 1 species